rnacentral:rRNA from 1 species
GAUGAACGCUGACAGAAUGCUUAACACAUGCAAGUCGAUGGGGAAGUGGUGCUUGCACCAUGGCAACCAUGGCGGACGGGUGAGUAACGCGUAAGGGACUUACCUGCAGGACUGGGAUAACAGGGGGAAACUCCUGACAAGACCGGAUAAUGUCAUGGAGCUGCAUGGCUUUAUGAUGAAAGGAGACGCCUGCGGAGAGCCUUGCGUCCUAUUAGCUAGUUGGUGAGGUAAUGGCUCACCAAGGCGAAGAUAGGUAGCCGGCCUGAGAGGGUGGACGGCCAAAAGGGGACUGGGAUCCGGCCCUUACUCCUACGGGAGGCAGCAGGGGGGAAAAUUGGACAAUGGGGCCAACCCUAAUCCAGCAAUUUGGUGUGAAAAAAAAAGUUUUUCGGAUGGAAAAGGGUUUUCAGAAGGGAAGAAGUAAGGGCCGGACCCUGCAGAAGAAGCAACGGCUAAAUCCGG